rnacentral:lncRNA from 1 species
AUUUGAUUUUUAUGGGGGCUAGGACGAAAUUUGAAAAAAAUAGGCAGGACAGGAGUUUUGAGUAAAAAAAAAGGCAGGAUGAGACACUUUGCAAAAAAAAAAAAAAGCAGGAUGACAAUUUAGGUAAAAAAAAGUCAGGAUAAACUAAUUAAAAAAAAAGGCAGGACCGAAUAGAGUGAAAAAUAAAAAGGCAGGACAGAGAUUACAACUUAAAAAAAAUGCAGGACAAAAUUUUUCAUCAGCCCUCCCCC